GUCAGCAAAAAGGCGAGAAACCUAGGCCGUUUGCUGUAAAAUUAUAUCGUCGAAGAGAUAACUCAACAAGGUUCGACGAGCGGCUAUAAGGGAAAGGAGGUAGCUGAAGAAUUAGCUUAAAUUACUGCUUGUAGCAUGUUUAGCAUAUUUUUAUUUAUGCGUGAAUCUAUGUAAUUUUGGAUAUGUUUAAGACGUUCAGAUAUAUCUUGCGAGAGAUGAUGUUCAUGUAAUUCAUUUUGUAAACGUCUUGAACA